rnacentral:rRNA from 1 species
GACGAACGCUGGCGGCGUGCUUAACACAUGCAAGUCGAACGGAAAGGCCCUGCUUUUGUGGGGUGCUCGAGUGGCGAACGGGUGAGUAACACGUGAGUAACCUGCCCUUGACUUUGGGAUAACUUCAGGAAACUGGGGCUAAUACCGGAUAGGAGCUCCUGCUGCAUGGUGGGGGUUGGAAAGUUUCGGCGGUUGGGGAUGGACUCGCGGCUUAUCAGCUUGUUGGUGGGGUAGUGGCUUACCAAGGCUUUGACGGGUAGCCGGCCUGAGAGGGUGACCGGCAACAUUGGGAUUGAGAUGCGCCACGGCCCCAACGGGGAGGCGGGGGUGGGGAAUUGUCAAUAAGGGGCUGAGCCCGAGUCAGCACCCGCCGGGGGGGGUAGGACGGCUUGGGGUUUGGAACCCUCUUCCCCUUGACAGGAGGCGUGAGUGACGUUAAGGGGAAAAGAAGCCCCGGCUAACUUCGUG